rnacentral:rRNA from 2 species
UGGCUCAGGACGAACGCUGGCGGCGUGCCUAAUACAUGCAAGUCGAACGAAACUUUCUUACACCGAAUGCUUGCAUUCACCGUAAGAAGUUGAGUGGCGGACGGGUGAGUAACACGUGGGUAACCUGCCUAAAAGAAGGGGAUAACACUUGGAAACAGGUGCUAAUACCGUAUAUCUCUAAGGAUCGCAUGAUCCUUAGAUGAAAGAUGGUUCUGCUAUCGCUUUUAGAUGGACCCGCGGCGUAUUAACUAGUUGGUGGGGUAACGGCCUACCAAGGUGAUGAUACGUAGCCGAACUGAGAGGUUGAUCGGCCACAUUGGGACUGAGACACGGCCCAAACUCCUACGGGAGGCAGCAGUAGGGAAUCUUCCACAAUGGACGCAAGUCUGAUGGAGCAACGCCGCGUGAGUGAAGAAGGUCUUCGGAUCGUAAAACUCUGUUGUUAGAGAAGAACACGAGUGAGAGUAACUGUUCAUUCGAUGACGGUAUCUAACCAGCAAGUCACGGCUAACUACGUGCCAGCAGCCGCGGUAAUACGUAGGUGGCAAGCGUUGUCCGGAUUUAUUGGGCGUAAAGGGAACGCAGGCGGUCUUUUAAGUCUGAUGUGAAAGCCUUCGGCUUAACCGGAGUAGUGCAUUGGAAACUGGAAGACUUGAGUGCAGAA